GACGAACGCUGGCGGCGUGCUUAACACAUGCAAGUCGAACGGAAAGGCCUGCUUUUCCUUGUGGAUUGCGGGUACUCGAGUGGCGAACGGGUGAGUAACACGCGAGUGAUCUGCCCCCAACUUGGGUAUAAGCCUGGGAAACUGGGUCUAAUUCCCGAUAGGACUGCAGGGUGCUGCCUGUGGUGGAAAACGAUCUUCUAGUGGUUGGGGAUGCGCCCGCGGCCUAUCAGGUUGUUGGUGGGGCAAUGGCCUACCAAGGCGGGGACGGGUAGCCGGCCGGAGAGGGUGGACGGCCAAAUUGGGACAGGGACCCGACCCAGACUCGUACGGGCGGCAGCGGAGGGGACUAAUGGACCGUGGGCGUGAGCGUGCUGCAGCGACGGCGCGAGGGGGAUGACGGCCUUCGAGUUGUCUACUCCUUGCGACCGAGAGGAGGCUACCUGGUUGUAAGGGUGGUGACGGUAGUGGUAGAAGAAGCACCGGCUAACUACGUG
rnacentral:rRNA from 1 species